ensembl:misc_RNA Metazoa_SRP Metazoan signal recognition particle RNA
GCCGGGUGCGGUGGCGCGUGCCUGUAAUCCAAGCUACCGGGAGGCUGAGGUUGGAGGAUCGUUUGAGCUCAGGAGCUCUGAGCUGCAGCAGGCUAUGUCGAUCGGGUGUCCGCACUAAGUUCGGCAUUGAUAUGGUGAUCCUGGGGGAGCCCGGGACCACCAGGUCGUCUAAGGAGGGGUGCACCGGCCCAGGUCGGAGACGGAGCAGGUCAAAGCCCCCGUGUCGCUCAGUAGUGGGAUCGCGCCUGUGAAUAGAUGCUGUAGCGCAGCCUGAGCAAUACAGCGAGACCCAAUCUUUA